CCUACGGGUGGCAGCAGUGAGGAAUAUUGGUCAAUGGACGAGAGUCUGAACCAGCCAAGUAGCGUGAAGGAUGACUGCCCUAUGGGUUGUAAACUUCUUUUAUAUGGGAAUAAAACAGGGUAUGCAUACCCUCUUGUAUGUACCAUAUGAAUAAAGAACGGCUAAUUCCGUGCCAGCAGCCGCGGUAAUACGGAGGAUCCGAGCGUUAUCCGGAUUUCUUGGGGUUAAAGGGCGCGUAGGUGGAUUGUUAAGUCAGUUGUGAAAGGUUGCGGCUCAACCGUAGAAUUGCAGUUGAAACUGGCAGUCUUGAGUACAGUAGAGGUGGGCGGAAUUCGUGGUGUAGCGGUGACAUGCUUAGAAAUCACGAAGAACUCCGAUUGCGAAGGCAGCUCACUGGACUGCAACUGACACUGAUGCUCGAAAGUGUGGGUAUCAAACAGGAUUAGAUACCCCAGUAGUC
rnacentral:rRNA from 1 species